rnacentral:rRNA from 1 species
CUGGCGGCGUGCCUAAUACAUGCAAGUCGAGCGAACAGACGAGGAGCUUGCUCCUCUGACGUUAGCGGCGGACGGGUGAGUAACACGUGGAUAACCUACCUAUAAGACUGGGAUAACUUCGGGAAACCGGAGCUAAUACCGGAUAAUAUAUUGAACCGCAUGGUUCAAUAGUGAAAGACGGUUUUGCUGUCACUUAUAGAUGGAUCCGCGCCGCAUUAGCUAGUUGGUAAGGUAACGGCUUACCAAGGCAACGAUGCGUAGCCGACCUGAGAGGGUGAUCGGCCACACUGGAACUGAGACACGGUCCAGACUCCUACGGGAGGCAGCAGUAGGGAAUCUUCCGCAAUGGGCGAAAGCCUGACGGAGCAACGCCGCGUGAGUGAUGAAGGUCUUCGGAUCGUAAAACUCUGUUAUUAGGGAAGAACAAAUGUGUAAGUAACUAUGCACGUCUUGACGGUACCUAAUCAGAAAGCCACGGCUAACUACGUGCCAGCAGCCGCGGUAAUACGUAGGUGGCAAGCGUUAUCCGGAAUUAUUGGGCGUAAAGCGCGCGUAGGCGGUUUUUUAAGUCUGAUGUGAAAGCCCACGGCUCAACCGUGGAGGGUCAUUGGAAACUGGAAAACUUGAGUGCAGAAGAGGAAAGUGGAAUUCCAUGUGUAGCGGUGAAAUGCGCAGAGAUAUGGAGGAACACCAGUGGCGAAGGCGACUUUCUGGUCUGUAACUGACGCUGAUGUGCGAAAGCGUGGGGAUCAAACAGGAUUAGAUACCCUGGUAGUCCACGCCGUAAACGAUGAGUGCUAAGUGUUAGGGGGUUUCCGCCCCUUAGUGCUGCAGCUAACGCAUUAAGCACUCCGCCUGGGGAGUACGACCGCAAGGUUGAAACUCAAAGGAAUUGACGGGGACCCGCACAAGCGGUGGAGCAUGUGGUUUAAUUCGAAGCAACGCGAAGAACCUUACCAAAUCUUGACAUCCUCUGACCCCUCUAGAGAUAGAGUUUUCCCCUUCGGGGGACAGAGUGACAGGUGGUGCAUGGUUGUCGUCAGCUCGUGUCGUGAGAUGUUGGGUUAAGUCCCGCAACGAGCGCAACCCUUAAGCUUAGUUGCCAUCAUUAAGUUGGGCACUCUAAGUUGACUGCCGGUGACAAACCGGAGGAAGGUGGGGAUGACGUCAAAUCAUCAUGCCCCUUAUGAUUUGGGCUACACACGUGCUACAAUGGACAAUACAAAGGGCAGCGAAACCGCGAGGUCAAGCAAAUCCCAUAAAGUUGUUCUCAGUUCGGAU